rnacentral:rRNA from 1 species
UACGUAGGGUGCGAGCGUUGUCCGGAAUUAUUGGGCGUAAAGGGCUCGUAGGCGGUCUGUCGCGUCGGGGAGUGAAAACUCAGGGCUUAACCCUGAGCCUGCUUCCGAUACGGGCAGACUAGAGGUAUGCAGGGGAGAACGGAAUUCCCGGUGUAGCGGUGAAAUGCGCAGAUAUCGGGAGGAACACCGGUGGCGAAGGCGGUUCUCUGGGCCUUACCUGACGCUGAGGAGCGAAAGCGUGGGGAGCGAACAGG